GUAGUCAAGAUGAGAAUUCUAAGGUGAGCGAGCGAACUCUCGUUAAGGAACUCGGCAAAAUGACCCCGUAACUUCGGGAGAAGGGGUGCUCUUUGAGGUUCACGCUUCGAAGAGCCGCAGUGAAUAGGCCCAAGCGACUGUUUAUCAAAAACACAGGUCUCUGCUAAACCGUAAGGUGACGUAUAGGGGCUGACGCCUGCCCGGUGCUGGAAGGUUAAGAGGAGUGGUUAGCGCAAGCGAAGCUACGAAUCGAAGCCCCAGUAAACGGCGGCCGUAACUAUAACGGUCCUAAGGUAGCGAAAUUCCUUGUCGGGUAAGUUCCGACCCGCACGAAAGGCGUAACGAUUUGGGCACUGUCUCAACGAGAGACUCGGUGAAAUCAUAGUACCGGUGAAGAUGCCGGUUACCCGCGACAGGACGGAAAGACCCCGUGGAGCUUUACUGUAGCCUGAUAUUGAAAUUCGGUACAGUUUGUACAGGAUAGGUAGGAGCCUUAGAAGCGUGAGCGCUAGCUUACGUGGAGGCAUUGGUGGGAUACUACCCUAAUUGUAUUGGAUUUCUAACCCGCAGCACUUAUCGUGCUGGGAGACAGUGUCAGGCGGGCAGUUUGACUGGGGCGGUCGCCUCCUAAAGAGUAACGGAGGCGCUCAAAGGUUCCCUCAGAAUGGUUGGAAAUCAUUCAUAGAGUGUAAAGGCAUAAGGGAGCUUGACUGCGAGACCUACAAGUCGAGCAGGGUCGAAAGACGGACUUAGUGAUCCGGUGGUUCCGCAUGGAAGGGCCAUCGCUCAACGGAUAAAAGCUACCCCGGGGAUAACAGGCUUAUCUCCCCCAAGAGUUCACAUCGACGGGGAGGUUUGGCACCUCGAUGUCGGCUCAUCGCAUCCUGGGGCUGUAGUCGGUCCCAAGGGUUGGGCUGUUCGCCCAUUAAAGCGGUACGCGAGCUGGGUUCAGAACGUCGUGAGACAGUUCGGUCCCUAUCCGUCGUGGGCGUAGGAAAUUUGAGAGGAGCUGUCCUUAGUACGAGAGGACCGGGAUGGACAUACCUCUGGUGUACCAGUUGUCGUGCCAACGGCAUAGCUGGGUAGCUAUGUAUGGACG
rnacentral:rRNA from 1 species